GGUUGCGAUCAUACCAGCACUAAUGCACCGGAUCCCAUCAGAACUCCGCAGUUAAGCGUGCUUGGGCGAGAGUAGUACUAGGAUGGUGACCCCCUGGGAAGUCCUCGUGUUGCAACCCCG
rnacentral:rRNA from 1 species